UCGAACGGGAUAUCAUUUGUAGCAAUACAAAUGAUGUCUAGUGGCGCAAGGGUGCGUAACACGUGGGGAAUCUGCCGAGAAGUGGGGGAUAGCUCGCCGAAAGGCGAAUUAAUACCGCAUGUGGUUAGUGAGGACAUCCUCAUAACACCAAAGCCGGGGCAACCUGGCGCUUCUUGAUGACCCCGCGGCCUAUCAGCUAGUUGGUGAGGUAACGGCUCACCAAGGCUAUGACGGGUAGCUGGUCUGAGAGGACGACCAGCCACACUGGAACUGAGACACGGUCCAGACACCUACGGGUGGCAGCAGUCGAGAAUUUUUCUCAAUGGGGGAAACCCUGAAGGAGCGACGCCGCGUGGAGGAUGAAGGUCUUCGGAUUGUAAACUCCUGUCAUUUGGGAACAAUUGCUACGCGUUAACUGCGCGGAGCUUGAUAGUACCAGAAGAGGAAGAGACGGCUAACUCUGUGCCAGCAGCCGCGGUAAUACAGAGGUCUCAAGCGUUG
rnacentral:rRNA from 1 species